ACACGUAGGGGGCGAGCGUUGUUCGGAAUCAUUGGGCGUAAAGGGCGCGCAGGCGGCGAGGCAAGUCCGGUGUGAAAGUGCUCGGCUCAACCGAGUGAUGCGCUGGAAACUGCCCUGCUUGAGUACAGGAGGGGACGUCGGAAUUCCAGGUGUAGGGGUGAAAUCUGUAGAUAUCUGGAAGAACACCGGUGGCGAAGGCGGACGUCUGGCCAUGUACUGACGCUGAGGCGCGAAGGUGCGGGGAGCGAACAGGUUUAGAUACCCUGGUAGUCCGCACAGUAAACGAUGUGCACCAGGUGGCGGGGGGUAGCCCUCGGUACCGAAGCCAACGCAUUAAGUGCACCGCCUGGGGAGUAUGCUCGCAAGGGUGAAACUCAAAGGAAUUGACGGGG
rnacentral:rRNA from 1 species